CGUGAGUGAAGAAGGCUUUCGGGUCGUAAAGCUCUGUCAAAUGGGAAAAAGGCCUUUAGUUGAAUAGGCUGAAGGAUUGAUGGUACCAUUGGAGGAAGCACCGGCUAACUCCGUGCCAGCAGCCGCGGUAAUACGGAGGGUGCGAGCGUUGUUCGGAAUUAUUGGGCGUAAAGAGCGUGUAGGCGGGUUGGUAAGUCAGAUGUGAAAGCCCCGGGCUCAACCCGGGAAGUGCAUUUGAAACUGCCUUUCUUGAGUAUGGGAGAGGAGAGUGGAAUUCCCAGUGUAGAGGUGAAAUUCGUAGAUAUUGGGAGGAACACCCGUGGCGAAGGCGACUCUCUGGACCAAUACUGACGCUGAGACGCGAAAGCGUGGGGAGCAAACAGGAUUAGAUACCCUGGUAGUCCACGCCGUAAACGAUGAGAACUAGGUGUAGCGGGUAUUGACCCCUGCUGUGCCGGAGCUAACGCAUUAAGUUCUCCGCCUGGGGAGUACGGCCGCAAGGCUA
rnacentral:rRNA from 1 species